GAUGAACGCUAGCGAUAGGCCUAACACAUGCAAGUCGAGGGGCAUCACAUGAAGUAGCAAUACGGAUGGUGGCGACCGGCGCACGGGUGAGUAACACGUAUGCAACCUGCCUUCAACAAGGGGAUAACCCGUUGAAAGACGGACUAAUACCCUAUAACACAGGGGUCCCGCAUGGGAAUAUUUGUUAAAGGACAACCGGUUGAAGAUGGGCAUGCGUUCCAUUAGCUAGUUGGCGGGGUAACGGCCCACCAAGGCACACAG
rnacentral:rRNA from 1 species